GGGUUCUUGUUUAUCAGCCUACGGUGUAUAGAAGAUUUCAAGGGUUCUUGUUUAUCAGCCUAUUUCUAGGGUUUUUAAGGUUGGGUGAAACGCCAAACCGUUGGAGCUGGAUCUUCGGUUAACGUCGCCGCCGUCAUUGAUUACCUUAUUUCUUAGAUGGUGCCUGAUAUUGUAGAGGGUGAUGGGUUUGUUGGGAGGCAGCCUCAUAUCAAGUAUGAGCUCAGAGAUAGUCCUGGUCUUGUGAAUGUAGGAGGAUACAACCAAUGUGUAUUCUUCAACUGCAGUUAUAGUAGUUCGGAUACUCC